GACGAACGCUGGCGGCGUGCCUAAUACAUGCGAGUAGAACGCUGAAGGAGGAGCUUGCUUCUCUGGAUGAGUUGCGAACGGGUGAGUAACGCGUAGGUAACCUGCCUGGUAGCGGGGGAUAACUAUUGGAAACGAUAGCUAAUACCGCAUAAUAGUAGAUGUUGCAUGACAUUUACUUAAAAGGUGCAAUUGCAUCACUACCAGAUGGACCUGCGUUGUAUUAGCUAGUUGGUGGGGUAACGGCUCACCAAGGCGACGAUACAUAGCCGACCCGAGAGGGUGAUCGGCCACACUGGGACUGAGACACGGCCCAGACUCCUACGGGAGGCAGCAGUAGGGAAUCUUCGGCAAUGGACGGAAGUCUGACCGAGCAACGCCGCGUGAGUGAAGAAGGUUUUCGGAUCGUAAAGCUCUGUUGUAAGAGAAGAACGAGUGUGAGAGUGGAAAUUCACACUGUGACGGUAUCUUACCAGAAAGGGACGGCUAACUACGUGC
rnacentral:rRNA from 1 species